GCCUCCACUCUUGUUUUGGCUUUCCACUCCUGAGCUAGGGUUGCCGCCGCUGGCGCCGCCGCCGCCGCCACUGCCGCCCCAUCGCUCCUCCGGCGCUGGCCAUCGAAGGAAGGUCAUCUUCUCCUCUUGGUGGCUUCCUCAUAGCAAGGUGUGGCGCUACUCCUCCGCACAACCCCGUCGGCAAGAGCGAGAAGGCGGGCGGCGCCGCGAGCUCUCGUCCCGAGGAAGCCGUGGGAGGACGACGUUCAUGCGGUCAUCCGCGCUUCUUCCGACGGCGAGGCCAGCCUCCUUUUCACCUCUGCUAGACCCACAGCUAUCCAUCUUCCAUUGCUCUUUGUUCCUAUUGGAUGGUGGCGCCCUAGGAGUGGAUGAUUGAAUUCAGUCCUGCUGUGUCAUGUGUGAGGGUGAUGUAAAAGGCUCAACAGAUGGUUUCACGGGCUGGCAUAACCGGAUGUGAGAAGAUAGUUGAGAAUCUUCUGUUUGCAAUUAAGAACCCUGCACAGCUAGAUGUUUCACUGUCAGUCCUGAAUCCCGUGACCACACUGCCGGGUCAUAAGGCGGUGGUGAACUGCACGCUGUGGCUUCCAACCAAGAAGGGUGCAUUCAAGGGAGACACACUAUCUAUUGUCCGGAAGUUCUGAUGGUGCUAUUAUGACGUGGAAGAUUGGUUCUGGAAUAGGCAAGUGGUUGCUAGGAAAAAGUUUGCCUGUUUAUCUUAAUCAAGUCGGCGGGCAUGGCGCUGCUGCAUCAUACUUGCAUGGCCCGAUGGCGCCCGUCAUCGUCCAUGAGCAGGACAAACAGCUGGCAAUGGAGCCGCUCUGGGCUCCAAGACGAGCCGCUCUGGGCGCUCCGCCGUGCCGCCGGUUCCUCCGGCAAUAUCAUGAACACCAAGGAAUACGCGCAAAUGAUCAGCUGGCCCAUCAACUCCAGCAAGAAGCAAUAGGCUGACGUCGCCUACGCGGCGAUGACUGAAGGGACGCACAACAGUGCCGUCGUCAUCAUGAACAUCAUCACGUUGGUCGACGCCUUCUUUGACGCGAACAACUAGAUGGAGCUGUUCCCUUCUAAUGUGUGCAAGGCAAUGGCCAUUCAGGUCAUACACCAUGGCGCUGCUUCUGGCGAACUCGGCAGUUGAUCUCUCAUAUUGGUAAUCACUGUUUGAUGCUUCAGGUUUCAUCCUCCUGCCCUAUUCCACUUGAUUUUUCCAAUAUGGUAAAUAUCAGCAGAAAAGAAAUUCACUGCUAAAGUUAACAAUAUAUAUGUGUAGAAAUACAUCAAUAGAAUAGAUGUCCAUGUAAAUUAAGAAUUUAGGAUUAGCUACAUCUUCAGACUGGAGCUGAGUUACAACUUCACUUGGUGGAUCACUGGAGCUUAGGAUACUAUGAAUAGUGACUUGUUGUGUUCAAUCUGCAACAAUAGGCUAAACAAAAUGUAGUGUAUUAUGUCCAGAAUGUUUAAAAUGGAACGGUUAAGUUUAUAAGAUUGUGUGUAUCUAAAAAGAAGGUUUGGAGUUCAAACAGUUCUCAUAAAUUUAUGCAAAUGAUAUCCACUUCAGAAAUGUCAUUCCUAUGUUGGUAACAAACAUCGUGUCUUG